UCAUUUUCUUUGCAAAUGUUUCAGUUAUUUGCAGUUGCAAUUGCUUCCAGGGGAGGUGGGCAUAUUGUGUUUUACAAAUAGCUCUUGUUUUUUCUGUUUUCUUUUUUGUUUUUGGUAAUCAUGCUGUACGUUAGGGGUUAGUUUUAAGUAACCUUAUUUUUAAAUCUGUGUUGGUAAUUUAACUGUCUGGAAUAAACAGUUUGGAUUAUAACUGCCACACCUUAUCCCUGCCUGUCAGCGGGAGCGCAUUUCAUGUAAUGCUUGAAUGUUUACAGGUAACUGAGGAUACUCCGUGAAUAUCUAGUCUAAACACCAGGCGCUGCAAUUUUCUAUGCAGGGAUUUAGGAAUAGGAAAUAUAUUAUUAAACUUUUUAUUUAGCACAUAAAAAUAUGGCAUUUGAUCCGAUAGUUAUGUUCUGUAAAGUUGGGAAGUGGGUAACUUUUUUGGAUAUUAUUACCCAUAGGAAACUGUUAUAAAAUUGGCGUUUUUGUCCAUAGAAACAAACAAUUUCUAUCAAACAGUUUAUUAAAUACAAAAGGGAAAGGUUAUUUCAAUUGGGUUACGUUUUUGUCAAUCGUUAUUUGUAAUUUUUGUACAAAAAACAUUUUUUUAAAGAUAUUAUGAAGCAAUGACGUAUUUCUUUUUUUUUUCUUCGAAAUAUUCCUUGUAAGUUACAUAAAAAAUGACAUGACCUAAGUGGAGAAGUGCUAGAAGUGUUUAUAUAGUAUACCUUACUCCGUUAAAACCAGGUAUUGAGUGAAACUGACAUUGUGUGUCUUAAUUAGAGGCGUGUGUUGAUAGUGUUGAUUAAUGAUCUGUGUUCAUUCCGUGGCGUUAGUGACUGCAAUAUUUUGUGUUACUUACAUAUCAAAGCAGAAAAAUAAACAUUUUUUUCUG
rnacentral:sRNA from 1 species